UAAACACGUGAAACACUCUAAUCCUAAUUUUAUUCCCUUGCUCCAUCGAAUCACAUGUAGUAUUUAAUCCAAGAAGGACGGUCUUUCAACGACAAACGCACAAAGACUCAUAGAUCUCAUGAAAAGAAGUUUCAUGUUUCAGUGGAAGAAUAAGCCACUAAAUUACUGUAGCAAAACUUUGAAACCGAGUUUAAGAAGGGAGUUUGUUUAUCAAAAAACGCUCGGCAAGGAACUUUUUAGCUUUAACUCAAACACGGUGGUUGUCGGUGAAGAUUUCUCCAUUGACGACUACCUUGACUUCUCCAACAGCGGCGAACAAUACCACGAGGAAGAUGAAGAAGAAAAAGAUAGUUUAUUUUCACAACUAAAUUACUCGUUUCGGAUGAUGACGUGGCAAGUCUUGAAUGGGUUUCCAACACAAUGCUUCCACAUAAAUUUUGAAUUGGAGUCCAUGAUUUUUCAAGAUCUAGGUGACUGCCUAAAUACGUUGAGCUUUGAAUUCUCGUAGUUAGUCAUAGUAACUUGCUUGUUGGGUACUUCAGCAAGGUACAUGUAUUCGUCAUUUCAAUAUGUGUGUAUAACAUAUAACUUCAAGUUUCUCACAAAUAGAGAGGUAACUUUUUAUUAAGUAUAUAUUUUAGAGUCUUUUAUUUCUUCUUUUUUUUUAGAUAAUGAAUAGAUUAAAUGUUCACUCUAUUUUUCUGUUUGUUAUAUUUUCUACUUCCAGUUCUAUACGUUUUGUCAUCAAGAUAAUGAAUAGAUUAAAUGUUCCUUCUUGAUUGUUUUGUAGAAAAUAUUUUUUCUUAUGGGUGAAAUUACUGAAUUUCAACAUGAGCACAUCAUAGAAAUAUUUGAAGCUCACUAAAACUUAUACCUUUAAUUUGUCACAAUUUUAAAAAUGUAGUACAAUUUUCCCAUCUUGAACUUGUAAUUAUUUUCUCUGAUGGUAGGAUUCGAGAAUGGAAGGAAUUUGUGAAAAUGUUAUUGUGUGGCACUAACGGUUGUGGCAAAUCCACAUUGUCAGCACUGUUGGUAUAUUUGCAAAUAGAAAUAGUGUCUUUUUUCUAUGAGAAAUAUUUAGGGUUAGUUUUUACUUAACUUGCAGCAGGAUAUGCAACUUGCAGUGACUAAUAAUGAAUAUCACAACUUGCUUUUAAUUGUUCAAUUGCAAAUUUUCUCUAAUCAUUCAUUGUAAAAGAGCAUCUUAUGUUGUUGGUUAAUUUUGUUAUAAAUGAAUAAUUUGUACUGUCUUUUAUUAUAAUGAAUAAUCUGACAACUGCUUCCUUUUUGUUUGGACCAGAGCCCUCCUGAAGUUCAUGCCAAUGUAGUUGAAACAUUAUGUACAAUUCACAAUCAAAGUUUGGCUUUGUCAACUCACUUUGUGUGUGUAUUUCUUUACUCGACCUCAAAAAAUAAGUUGUUUCAUCUUCACUUUUUCAUUCAUUAUAAAAUCAAAACAUGUAUGAUCCAUCAUUCCUGUAAAUCCAAAUAUUAUUGGUGCAAUGCUCUCUAAAGGAACGAGGUUCGUCUAGAUUUGAUGAAGAUUGACAUAUGCACUUUUUAGGAAGUAAUAAAGUUAAAUUUUAGAAAAGACUAGUUCACUGUUUAGAAUCAAAACAUAGGAUUAUGUUUAUUUAUUAUAGGAUCAUCCUUUUAGUUUGAAUCAAAUAAUGUAACAAGAGUAUGGUUUAAUGUCAUUAAAUUUAAGAUUAUGUUAAUAUCAAAGGUUUUAUUAAUCUAAAAUGUUAUGAAACUGUUACAAAUGCCCUCUAAUCAUAGUUUUAUUAACUUUCUUAACUUGGUCACUUAAAUAGUUAUAAUGUUUCAAUUUAAUCCCUUGAUAAAAUUGUUGACUUACUAUAUUAACUUUUGCAAUGUUGUCAUGCCACAUGUGCACAAAUUACGUUUUUUUACAAAAUUUAACAGAAAUGACCAACUUGACUAACAUAACAGUUUUAAGGGACUAACUUGUAAUAUUUUUUUAAAUAAGAGACUAAAGUGAAACAUUAAAUUAAGUUAGAGAACUUUGUGACUAAUAAUGCCUAGAUAACAUAAUUCAAAGUGUAAUAUUUAGCUUUUUUUUAAUAGCAAAAUAUUAAAAAUAAAAGAACCAAAAAGUUAAAUAGAAUACAAAUAAAGCUAAGAACACCAUAAGUACUCAUGAACAACAACUAAACCUUGACUAAAAUCCAAAGAGGAAUCCAAAUAGAAAAUCAAGAAAACACACCAACCGCCUCAAAAAAAAAACAUAAGUUGACCCAAAACGCUGUCAAUACUAUCCUAAAUCUCUUGACUCACAUACCUCUAGAGAGAACAAGUUGGAAGAAGAUAGACAUCUCCAAUUGUACAAAAUAAAAGGAGGGAAAAUGACCACCCAGCACACCCCUAAAUGCCUAGCCACUUGGGCAGGUUACUCCCAAUCAACUAGAGAAAUGAAGAAACUUGAAGCAUGGACCUGAAUCCACUUCCAUAAAAAGCUAAUUAUUGUAGACAUCUAAUGAUUAAUCGUCAAGCUUUCCUUGCAAAAAAAUAACUUUGUUCUACAAUUUCUAAAUAGUCCAAACCACAAACUUCCAUAUUGAAGUUAAGUCUAAAGACGUUUGUUUCCCAUACCCAAAACGCUAGAACAACUCAAAAACUCUUAAGAUCGAGUGAGGAAAAUCCCACAUCGUCCUACCCAUUGAAAAACUUUAUACCAAAUGACAGAAGCUACCUCACAUAGAAAAAAUAUAUGAUAUGCAUUCUCCACAUGCCCGACACACACAAUACACACCCCAACACUAGGAUUUGACAUUAUUUCACGCCUAAGAAGAUUCUUCCUAGUCGGUAAUCUAUUUUAAAUUGCUUCCAAGAGAACACCACAACUUUAGAUGGCGUCCAACUCUUCUAAACCCUAGACAAUCCUUUCGCCACCCUCUCAUACAUAUCUUCCCUGACCCCUGCCAGAGCCAUCAGGCUUCCAUAAGUCGAACCAAUUGAAAACCCAUUAGUCAGAUCCAAUUUCCAAACCCAAGAAUCCACCUUAUCACGUCGAACUAUGCAUGUGAUAAGCGCAAGAAAAUUCCCAAAUAGCUCAUUGUCCUAGACUCAGAAAGAUCGUAUCCAUGUGAAUCUCCAAACCCCAACAUCACAUUCCCAAGCACAACAACUGAUACUUUUUCUCAGAGUCAGGAAGUGCCUCUCAAAAGAAACACACAAAGGACUAGUACCAUCCCAGACAUCAUUCCAGGACCUAGUCUUCAGACCAUCCCUGGCCUUCCUCACAUAGGAGGUGGUAAACUAGUCAGGCACCUGAUCUGAUAGAGACCCAAGAAGAAAAACACACCUCCACCAGUGUGACACCUUCCGAAGGCUCCCUCAUCUUCCUCCCAAAGGGGAACCAAAUCCUUUCUAACUGUAUCUAGCCAUACAAAUAUCUCUCCAAAGUGAGGGUGAAUCCUGAAUAAUCCUCCACGUACACUUACUAAGCAGUGCUAAAUUAACUAGUCUAAUAUCGUUGAACCCUAAACCUCCUUAUCUUUUGGAUUUACUUGCAUCCUCCCAUUUAACCCAAGCAACCUUAAUGCCUCUUUUAGAGACCCCCCCCCCCCCCAAAAAAAAAAAAGGAACUGCCUUUGCAAACCUACCAACUUCUUCCAAACAGACAUUGGCAUCUUCAUAUAAGACAUAAAGAACAAUGUGAUUGAAUUCAAAACCAAGUUUGAAAAAACCACCCUACCACAUAAGCUAACAAAUUUAUUCCUCCAAGAAGCUAGCCUCUUAGUGACCAAAUUAACCAAAGGAUCCCAAGUCUUUUCCUUCUUCAGAUUCGCUCAUCGAGAGCCCAAGAUACUUAAAAUGAAGGGACCACACCUUAUAGUGUAAAAAUUCCUAUACCACAUUCAUGAAAGUCUUACCCACAUUUACUCCAAACAAACAACUAUUGGAAAAAUUCAUUUUGAGACCCGAGGCAAGUUCAAAACUUUUGAGAACCUCCUUAAUAGUCAAAAUAUUGUCAACAUACCUCACCCCCACCAACAUUGUGUCAUCUACGUACUAGAGAUGAGACACCUCAAGCCUGUCCACCCCUAGCUUAAAACCUUCAAAUACACCUACCGAGACCGUCUUUCUCAAAGAAGCACUAAGACCCUCCAUCACCAGAAGAAAAAGAAAAGGCGUUAAAAGGUCUCCUUUCUUUAGACCCUUUUGGAUACUAAUAUCCUUGGUAAGGCACCCAUUCACCAAGAUUGAUAGACUACCCAAAAAAACACAUGCCCUAAUCCAAGUCCUCCAACAAUCAUCAAAACCAAAUUUUCCCAACAUAUAAUCCAGGAAGGACCAACUAACUAACAGGGUCGUAAGCCUUCUCGAAAUCUAAUUUGAACAAAAAAAACUCUCACUUAGACACUUUAGCAAGAUCUAAGACCUCGUUUAGUACCACCAUUCCAUCCACCAUAUGUCUCCCUUUAAGAAAAGCUUAUUGCUCUAGGGAAAUACGCAUCACCAUGACCCUAACCAACCUAGCAGUCAACACCUUAGCUAACAUUUUAUACAAAUAACCAACAAGAGAGAUAGGUAUGAAAUCCCCUAAAUCCAAAAGGGAUUCCACCUUAGGAAUAAGGUCUACGAAAAGGGAAGUCAGACUCUUAGGAAACACAGCAUUAUGGUAAAAUUGGUCAAACAUCUCAAAGACCUUAUCCUUACUUUAAAAAUUAAAACAUUAGAACCUGGGUUCGUGGACUCAUCAAUCUCAACUACAACAACAUUCACUUCUAAGAACAAAAAUCUAACAGAGAAGGACUUUGCCUCAGCUACAGAAAGACAAGGAAGAGCAACCCCAUCGAGGGUUGACCUGUUGGUUUCAGAAUCCGAGAAUCGCUCCAUAAAGUACCUUGAUAUCUCCCCUCGAACCUCUAUAACCUUAUCCAACCAAAAGUCUCCCACACGAAGAGCGUCCAAACUAAUCCUCCUACUCUUUUACUUAAUACACUUAACACAAGCAUGGAAGCACCUAGUAUUGGCAUCCCCCUCCUUCAACCAAACCAACCUAAAUCUUUCGAAAAGUUGAUAGUCACAACGUCGGAUCAAGUCUCAUAACUAUUGGUUAACUUUAAAUCUAUCUAUUAUUUAAAUCGUUUAUGGAAAGAUGGUCAGACUCUGCUCUCAACUCCAAGCUUUGAAGCUUAUCCGAACACAUCUUAAUCUUAAACUCCAAAUUAUAAAUCACUUCCUUACUCAAAACCUUAAGUGUCCUUUUAAGAGCUUUCAACUUCUCCUUCAGCUUGCACGUCAUCCAACCGUCAUGAACUUCUAUCCACCAGGACUCACUAACCACCCUCUCAAAAUUGGCACCGUUCAACCAAAAAUUAUUAAAGCGAAGGGCUUAGAUCUCUAGAGUUGAGAUAGAUAUUUCAAAAUAAUUGGACAAUAAUCAAACACAUCUCAGGCCAAAGUUCAAAGACUACCCUAGUCCCAUGCAUACUCCCACUCAGUCGAAAGAAGUACUCAAUCCAACCUACUCAUAUAGACCACAUUCGAAUGGAACCAAGUAAAUCUUGUUUCCAACAACGCAAGAACUACCAACCUCGUUGCUUCAAUGAAAACACUAAACUCCAAGGACUUCGUAGGGACCGAGGCCAACAACCUCUUUUCUCUUUGCCCGAUUAAGAACCACCUUGAAGUCUCCCAACACACAUCAGACAGAACCUGAGAAUCGCCCAUAAGCUCGAACCAAGAGAUCCCACAUCACUUUUCUCAUCCAUCGAGCACUUCACAUACACAUUGACUAUAAAACAUUGUUGAGCAUUCACACCCCACUCAAGACACACCUCAAGAUACCCUGGUCAAAUACA